rnacentral:rRNA from 1 species
AACGAACGCUGGCGGCAUGCCUAACACAUGCAAGUCGAACGAGACCUUCGGGUCUAGUGGCGCACGGGUGCGUAACGCGUGGGAACCUGCCCUUAGGUUCGGAAUAACUCCCCGAAAGGGGUGCUAAUACCGGAUAAUGUCUUCGGACCAAAGAUUUAUCGCCUUUGGAUGGGCCCGCGUUGGAUUAGCUAGUUGGUAGGGUAAAAGCCUACCAAGGCGACGAUCCAUAGCUGGUCGGAGAGGAUGAUCAGCCACACUGGGACUGAGACACGGCCCAGACUCCUACGGGAGGCAGCAGUGGGGAAUAUUGGACGAUGGGCGAAAGCCUGAUCCAGCAAUGCGGCGUGAGUGAUGAAGGCCUUAGGGUUGUAAAGCUCUUUUACCCGGGAUGAUAAUGACAGUACCGGGAGAAUAAGCGCCGGCUAACUCCGUG